ensembl:lncRNA
AGGAAAUCAAUCCUGAAUCUUCAUUGGAAGGACUGAUGCUGAAGCUGAAACUCCAAUACUUUGGCCACCUGAUGCAAAGAACUGACUCAUUAGAAAAGACCCUGGUCCUGGGAAAGAUUGAAGGGUCUUGAUUUAUCUACGUCCUCCUGUUCCCCCAUGAAGCUCAAGUGUUCCAAGGGAUGCACACCCUCCUUCAACUCUGAAUGGUCCACAGAAAACCCAGUGUUGAGUGAUCAGUAAGUGGUCUACGGAUAGGCCUUGGAAAUCACUGUGAAUGCUGGAGAAGACUCCUUUUCAUUGACUGAGACCACUUUACAGCUUUGUAAAUGUUCAAAGGGGUUAGCAGCAAGUCACUUCUGCAUAUUGAAAACAUCAUGAAUGCAUGGAGAACUUCCCCCUGUUCCACCUCGAAGUUCAUCCUAGCGACACAUGGCCUUUCAGAUGUGGCAUUUAUUCAUUCACUUCUGAUCCUGCAGCUGCAAUGGAGGGACGGGUGAGGCUUGGCACAUCACGUUCUUCUUGUUAAAAAAUACAGGCCCCUUCUCAACCUAGCCAGAGGAUCUUCACACAGCUCUCCUGAAGCAGACAUCUCUGAUCCACCAUGACUCUUCCCUCAGGCACAGGAACAAGUUUCCUUCUCUGUAGGUGAUCCAUGCUGCUGCUAAGUCACUU